UACGUAGGGCGCAAGCGUUGUCCGGAAUUAUUGGGCGUAAAGAGCUCGUAGGCGGUUUGUCGCGUCUGCUGUGAAAACCUAAGGCUCAACCUUGGGCUUGCAGUGGGUACGGGCAGACUAGAGUGCGGUAGGGGGUGACUGGAAUUCCUGGUGUAGCGGUGGAAUGCGCAGAUAUCAGGAGGAACACCGAUGGCGAAGGCGGGUCUCUGGGCCGAUACUG
rnacentral:rRNA from 1 species